rnacentral:ncRNA from 1 species
AAAAAUAGAAUAAUAUUCACUUAUAUAAAUUCAGCAAUAUGGGUUGAGUGUUUCUACCAGGCUACCGUAAAUAGCUACAGGACUAUAAGUGUCUACUAACAAAUU